AACAUAUCUUUGAAACGAUCGAAAAAAUCCACUUUGAUUAUAUCCAACGUACGGAUGCGCCUUUAGCCUCUGAACGAAUACGUAUACUUGGACUUCUGUGUCUAUCUAUUUCCGUGCCAAUUAGACGCCGAACCUACAAGGAAGGGCAGCACUUAAUUAGCACAAAAGUAAUUGGCGGUCCGCACUUCGGACGGACGUGGAACAAAAGACAAUAGCUACGGAUUCCUCUAGUACCUUUACGAGCUGGAACGUGUCAUUGAAACGAAAAUACCCAGCGAUAGCAUUCUGAAUGGAUCCCAAGUAACGGAUGGAACUUCGGAACCGGAUGUUACGUCAGAAAGUGGCGGCACGUGUAAGUCAUUCCUUUCGGUAUGCAGAGGGUACUUAAAAAAAGUUAUUCAGCCUAGUUGUCGCGUAGGUCAUGGUCACGAAUAUAUUCUCAGAAGAUUCUACGUUUAUAUACUUUAUACGAAUAGUUUGUACAUGCAAGGGAGAUAUAACACUUUUAUUAUGCCUGUGGAAGACACUCUGGUUCUUAUACAAAAUUGUAUUAUACGAAACGAAGGGCUUGUAUUUCAAAAACUUUGGUUAUAUAAAAUAAGCAUAUACGUAUAUACUUUUCAAGUACAAUCCAUUGAUUUGUUAUUCACAAUAUAUUUUCCUUUUGAGUUAUUCCUCUUGAGAGGAAACGAGGGCCAAUCUGAAUUUGUUUUUUUCUCUUUUUACAGUAAAGCACUAAAAAUAUCCUGGUAUUGCGCUACGCUCGAGCCUUACGAGAAAAGUUUCUCAGUGGUAAUACAGAAAAAUCGGGUCCAGACGUUACAUGACAAAAUCAAUUUAUAACAUUGCUUUUCCUGACUGUACUUCGCUUAUAGUAGCAGCAGUGAUAAUGAUUUGAUGAGAAUAUAGGAUUUUAUAUUUUAUUCAAGAUUAAUCUAAAAUCUGAAAUUGGUUCAAUUAGACUUGAAUAACAUAAACGAUAUAGGUUUAUUUAAAAAAAAUUCUGUGAGUCCAGAUAUAUAAUUUUCUAACAAACUAAGGAAAUCUCACAUACGUUUGAGCAAAUUUUUCGCUUUAUUGAUAAUAGAGUUGAUAUUAUUGUUAUUAUUAAUAUUAAUACACUUCAAUGUACGUACAUAUUAUUAUUGCGAAAGUGGAUUGUAAAUAAUAUUUUUUUGAGGUAAAAAUACGUAGUUCUAAACAUAUAUAUGUACACGUAUACACAUGAGUAUGCUGAGUUUCAUGAAUUGUAAAAGACUGUACAAUAGUGUAUAAUUAAUAUUGCAUCGUCGAAUAACGACGAAUCACUUGAAUUAAAAUUUUUUUCCCAAUAUACGGAAACUUGGCGUGAUUUCUGGCAAUCUGUAUCAGUAUUAUCUGGCUCAAUCAAA